rnacentral:rRNA from 1 species
CCUACGGGACGCAGCAGUGAGGAAUAUUGGUCAAUGGCCGGAAGGCUGGACCAGCCAAGCCGCGUGAAGGACGAAGGUGCCAAGCAUUGUAAACUUCUUUUGUCAAGGGACAAAAUCAGGCUCGAGAGCCUGACCGAGGGUACUUGAAGAAAAAGCAUCGGCUAACUCCGUGCCAGCAGCCGCGGUAAUACAUAGGGAGCAAGCGUUAUCCGGAUUUAUUGGGUGUAAAGGGUGCGUAGACGGGAAAUUAAGUUAGUCGUGAAAUCCCUCGGCUUAACUGAGGAACUGCAACUAAAACUGGUUUU